GAUGAACGCUGGCGGCGUGCCUAAUACAUGCAAGUCGAGCGAACAGACGAGGAGCUUGCUCCUCUGACGUUAGCGGCGGACGGGUGAGUAACACGUGGAUAACCUACCUAUAAGACUGGGAUAACUUCGGGAAACCGGAGCUAAUACCGGAUAAUAUAUUGAACCGCAUGGUUCAAUAGUGAAAGACGGUUUUGCUGUCACUUAUAGAUGGAUCCGCGCCGCAUUAGCUAGUUGGUAAGGUAACGGCUUACCAAGGCGACGAUGCGUAGCCGACCUGAGAGCGUGAGCGGCCACACUGGAACUGAGACACGGUCCAGACGCCCACGGGAGGCAGCAGAAGGGAAGCUUCCGCAAUGGGCGAAAGCCUGACGAAGCAACGCCGCGAGAGUAAUAAAGGUCUUCGGAUCAUUAAACGCUGUUAUAAGGGAAGAACACAUGUGGAAGUAACUGUGCACGUCGUGACGGUACCUAAUCAGAAAGCCACGGCUAACUACGUG
rnacentral:rRNA from 1 species